AAGUCUGAUGUGAAGCCCCGGCUCACCGGGAGGGUCAUGAACUGAAGGCUUGAGUGCAGAGAGAAGAGCGGAUUCCACGUGUAGCGGUGAAUGCGUAGAGAUGUGGAGGACACCAGUGGCGAAGCGGCUCUUUGGUCUGUAACUGACGCUGAGGCGCGAAAGCGUGGGGAGCGAACAGGAUUAGAUACCCUGGUAGUCCACGCCGUAAACGAUGAGUGCUAAGUGUUGGGGGGUUUCCGCCCCUCAGUGCUGCAGCUAACGCAUUAAGCACUCCGCCUGGGGAGUACGGCCGCAAGGCUGAAACUCAAAGGAAUUGACGGGGGCCCGCACAAGCGGUGGAGCAUGUGGUUUAAUUCGAAGCAACGCGAAGAACCUUACCAGGUCUUGACAUCCCGCUGACCGGUCUGGAGACAGAUCUUCCCCUUCGGGGGCAGCGGUGACAGGUGGUGCAUGGUUGUCGUCAGCUCGUGUCGUGAGAUGUUGGGUUAAGUCCCGCAACGAGCGCAACCCUUGAUCUUAGUUGCCAGCAUUCAGUUGGGCACUCUAAGGUGACUGCCGGUGACAAACCGGAGGAAGGUGGGGAUGACGUCAAAUCAUCAUGCCCCUUAUGACCUGGGCUACACACGUGCUACAAUGGAUGGUACAAAGGGCUGCAAGACCGCGAGGUUUAGCCAAUCCCAGAAAGUGUAUCGUAGUCCGGAUUGUAGUCUGCAACUCGACUACAUGUAGUUGGAAUCGCUAGUAAUCGCGGAUCAGCAUGUCGCGGUGAAUACGUUCCCGGGUCUUGUACACACCGCCCGUCACACCAUGGGAGCGGGUUUCACCAGAAGUGGGUAGCCUAACCGCAAGGAGGGCGCUCACCACGGUGGGAUUCGUGACUGGGGUGAAGUCGUAACAAGGUAACCAAGGG
rnacentral:rRNA from 1 species